AGAACGAACGCUGGCGGCAGGCCUAAUACAUGCAAGUCGAACGCACUCUUCGGAGUGAGUGGCAGACGGGUGAGUAACGCGUGGGAACCUUCCCAAUGGUACGGAAUAACUCCGGGAAACCGGUGCUAAUACCGUAUAAGCCCCUCGGGGGAAAGAUUUAUCGCCAUUGGAUGGGCCCGCGUCGGAUUAGCUAGUUGGUAAGGUAAUGGCUUACCAAGGCUACGAUCCGUAGCUGGUCUGAGAGGAUGAUCAGCCACACUGGGACUGAGACACGGCCCAGACUCCUACGGGAGGCAGCAGUAGGGAAUCUUGGACAAUGGGCGAAAGCCUGAUCCAGCCAUGCCGCGUGAGUGAAGAAGGCCUUAGGGUUGUAAAGCUCUUUUGGCGGGGACGAUAAUGACGGUACCCGCAGAAAUAAGCCCGGCUAACUUCGUGCCAGCAGCCGC
rnacentral:rRNA from 1 species